rnacentral:misc_RNA from 1 species
AAGUCGUAACAAGGUUUCCGUAGGUGAACCUGCGGAAGGAUCAUUAAAGAGUAAGGGUCCUUCGGGGCCCGACCUCCCACCCUUUGUUGUCGAACAAAACACCGUUGCUUUGGCGGGACCGCCUCGCGCCCUCACCGGCGCGGGCUGCCGGGCCCAGGCCGGGUAUGCGCCCGCCAGAGUCAAACCAAACCCUAGUUUUUAACAGUAUCGUCUGAGCAAAAAUUUUGAAUUAAUCAAAACUUUCAACAACGGAUCUCUUGGUUCUG